rnacentral:lncRNA from 1 species
CUUCUUCAAGUCUGAAAAAGAACCCUAAUUUUUUUUUUCCUUAAAUCCAGAAUUAGGAAGAUAAUACUGAGGAAGGGAAGAGAUAGAGAAAUACCAGGAAUAUGGUCAGUUACCAUACAAAAGUGAUGUCGAAGGCGGUCGUUGGCUCGAAGUCGGAGAUCGUCAAAGAAAUCCGAGGCGGUCAGAACUUUGGUUCUGCAGAGAGAGAGAGAGAGAGGCGGAAGAACAAAGUGAAGGACAGAGAUGAGAAAAGAAUGGGAAAAGAACUACAAAUAAGAUACAAGUGUUGGAGACUGGGAGCAUUGUGAGUUAUUUCAUAAAUUAUUUGAAUUUUUAAAAUAAAAAAAGGCAAAAGUUGGAGCAAGGAAAAGAGGGGGAGGCGAGAGAUGACAGCCCUGUCAGGUUUUAGUACGUAAAAAACAAUAAUAUAUUACCUAGCCACAAUUAUAUGCAAUUGUGAGACAAUGUCUCACCUACGAUAUCAAAUGGGGUGGGGUUCAUAUCCUAAACAGUAAAAGCUCUCACAUUUGUUAAUAAUGUGGCAAGAGAAAUGUGGCCUUUGGUCAUUGUUGUUGUGGUGUAUGUGAAUAACUUUGUCUGGAAGACUAUGUAGACGCACGAACUCAAGAAAAUCAAAAAUGCCUCUCAUAUAAACUGGGGACCCCCUCCCUAAUUGCAUUCAGCUCUUGUCCAUGUUGUACACUAUAAUAACAAGAAAUAAAAAUAUAUAAUCAAAAAAUCGUGAAUAAAAUAAAGCAAGAGAAAUAUACACACACACACACACACUUUGUUGGGAAAAUAAACAUUUACUAAAAAACAAGAAUUUUAAAGCCCAUUUCAAGGAAAAAACUUUUGAGUAACCCAUAUUAAUGUUUUAACACCUCUAACAAUUAAUAUUGUACCCUUAUUGCAUUAAUUAAUUACAUGUUCUCUCUCAUAGUAAAAAAAAAAAAAAAAAAAAAAAAAAUUAAAACCACGUUCUCCCAGAUUCCCACUCUCCACGAUCAACCGAACUCUCACCUCUGUCACUCUCUCUAUCUC